rnacentral:rRNA from 1 species
AGUGAACGCUGGCGGUAGGCCUAACACAUGCAAGUCGAACGGCAGCACAGUAAGAGCUCGCUCUUACGGGUGGCGAGUGGCGGACGGGUGAGGAAUACAUCGGAAUCUACUUUUUCGUGGGGGAUAACGUAGGGAAACUUACGCUAAUACCGCAUACGACCUACGGGUGAAAGCAGGGGAUCUUCGGGCCUUGCGCGAUUGAAUGAGCCGAUGUCGGAUUAGCUAGUUGGCGGGGUAAAGGCCCACCAAGGCGACGAUCCGUAGCUGGUCUGAGAGGAUGAUCAGCCACACUGGAACUGAGACACGGUCCAGACUCCUACGGGAGGCAGCAGUGGGGAAUAUUGGACAAAGGGCGCAAGCCUGAUCCAGCCAUACCGCGUGGGUGAAGAAGGCCUUCGGGUUGUAAAGCCCUUUUGUUGGGAAAGAAAAGCAGCAGGUUAAUACCCCGCUGUUCUGACGGUACCCAAAGAAUAAGCACCGGCUAACUUCGUG